CAGCAUAAUAGCACAGUGUGGCCUAAUUGCUCACAUCUGGAACCCCGCUGAAAAUGUAAAGUGGUAUAUAUGCAAUUGCACUGGAAGAGACCUGAUUUACUGAACUGUUCUUGGAAGCAGCAGGAAAUGAAGGAAUGAAAGUGGUGCAAAGCAACGGAAAAUCCAGCUUUAUAUUUGUUCACAAAUUCACAAAUUAGAGACUCCACGUCCAGUAGAGCUGCCUUAUGCAAAUAAAGCUGCCUUUGGAGGGAAGAGAGACUUACACAUCGGUCUCCUCGGUUACGUCUUCUCUGCUUCCUCCAUGGCUUCAGUGUGUUGUUGUUUGUCACAAGAAAAAGGUUGGCAAAAACAAAGCAUGAAGAAAUGCCAUGCGAAUACUUACAAGGAUGUAAAUUAUGGAUGUGUGUUGUGGAAGUCCAGAAGUGUCUGCAAAAGCCUAGUCAUUCUUUAAAUGUAGCUAGAGACAUUUCAGGAGGCAAUUGCAUGAUCUUGUGGAUUUUGGUGUUUCAAGUAGAGGCAUGAAUAAUAACUGGAUAACUUCAAAAGCCCAAUCUUUAGACAAAGGAAUCUGCCAUUUCAUCUUUCUAAUACAGCUUUGACAUAUGGAGAGAAACAAGUUCUGCAAAUGGGUGGAAGUGAAGACUACCGGAAAUGUUGUGGAAACAUUAAGAUCCUUGUGGCUAUAAACCCUGAGUGAUGCCAGCUGGAAACUGUAAUUUAAGAAUCAACCUACAAUAAAAGUUUAAC